UCUUAAAAGCAGUUGUAGCUGCAGCCUCGUCGUCAUUCGAGUAACGACGACUGGAGAGUCAACGUUGGAUGACACGUUUUGUUCUUUUUUCAGCAUUUGGAAACAAGACAAUAUAUCUGAUAGCUUUUUAGCUGUUCUUCUACACUCGCGCCUUGUUUUAAGUUUUUUCUACAUAGCAGCCUUUUCUGUCGACGUUUUUAUAAGGAGACCAACGAGCUACAUUUAAAUUGCCUUCGGCAGAAAAACUUAGAGAUGGCUACACAGGUUGACUCGCACUCUGAUAUGGCACAUGCUCGCCAGAGCGACGGCAUCAAUGUGAUCUUCGACCAGAAGAGCCCAGGCUCUUCACACUCCCGAUCUCGCUCACGAUCCGUUAGCAGCUCUGCCAGCAGCCGUUCCACUGGUUCUGACUACAGAGGGCGUAAAAGCCGCCACGGACGCAACAGGUCUUCAUCCUCCUCAUCUUCAUCUUCUUGCAGGAGCGGGUCAUCGUCUAGCUCCAGGUCCCGUUCCAGGUCCCGAUCCUAUCCGCGAUGCCACCGACAUUCAUCCCGCUGUAGAUGUGAUAACCACCGCAGUUAUGGCGGCGACCGCUACCGCUGGUCCCCACCCAGGCGCUACAGGGCACACUCCCGCUCCUUCAGCCGGUCCCCACCCCGCCGCUAUAGGGGACGUUCUCGCUCCCACAGCCGAUCCCCACUACGCCACUACAGGGCUCAUUCCCGCUCCUACUCACGCUCCCCGGUAUCAGACAGAUAUUCCCGCCAUCGCAGAAGCUAUAGGUCCAGGUCCCGCUCUUGGUCUCCUGCACGCUGGAGUAGGUACAGGAGACCAGCAAGUCAGCUGAGAUACAGAUACUCUCGAUCUCCUUCCAUGACCUACAGGGGGCGAUCGCGAUCCAGGUCAUCUGGACGUUCUGUCAGUUUAAGCCUACGUGACAAAAGGGAACUCCUUGAAGUUGCCAAGGCCAAUGCUAUGCGAAUGCUUGGAGUGGAGAAGCUGGACCUUCCUGAAAGUGUGAAGCCUAUCCUGUCAGAGCAGCCAGCAGCCAGAGGUUCUUCACCAGAGCCUGUUACAGGGGUGAGGCAUGGCUCCCAAAAGACUCAUUUAGAGAUAACAUGACAGUGGUCUCCUUCACUCAUCGGCACCUGGGAUUAAAAGGCUGUCAUGUGACAUGGGUGACAACCAUUUGUUUGCGUUGACAUGUUCUCUGACUUUAGAUGUUGCAGUAUGUUUAAUAUAUGGAAUAAGCACAUACAGUUAACAUAGCAAUUCACUCUAGAUUACAUGCAUAUGCUUAUUGCACAAACAUGUAAAUAAUUUAGUUAGGUGUUAGUUCUGUGCCAUUACAAUGUAUUUAUGCUUUCAGAUGAAAUGGGUUAUUGUUACUUAGCAGAAUCUGCCACUCGCUGAAGGAGCACAGGCGUGUGGACUGCAUUAUAAUGACUAUUCCAGUCAAGACAACUCUUCUCCAUAUCCUAAAGAUAAGUUGGUACACAAGAUGUGUGCUGAGGGGCUGGGGAACUUGCGUCUUGAUCACUCUUCCAGUUUAAACAAACUAAACUUUUUUAUUAUCAUUUUAUAAAGCUUCAAGGUCUGUCCUUUAGAUAUAAUUUAAGUAAUGGAGGGCUGCAUGAAAGCUGCAGUUUGAAAGUGCCAUAUAUUAAGUAGAAUUGUUUAACUAGAUCUUGAAGUCCAUCAGUUUGAACUUCAGGUUGAAGAACAGUUCCUUGCUCAUGAGUAACUUGUAAUCUGUUUCUCUCCUUGAAUUAGGACGAGGCAGAGCCUGGAGUGUCCAGUCCAAGGAUAGAAGGCAGGAAAAUUGCUUUCAGUAUAAAUAAUUCUGUUGCGAAGCCAACAGUGGUGACUCCAUCUCCUGCAAAGGUAACUCCCAGAGUUGACAGCGUUGAAAGCCGGAAGCCUUACGGCCAUUGGAUUCCCAUCAGUUCAGGCCAAAACUCCAGUCCAAACAAACACCCUUAGGCUAGUUCUGUGACUGGAUAUAUGGACACUGUAAAUAAUGUACAUAGUUUGUGAAAUAUCAAUUUUGUGGUCAUUUUCUUUCAGAUAUUAAAGAUUUAAAUGGGAAGCUGUGAAGAAUUCGUUAAGGUGGGAUUAUUCCUUCUCCUCUGUAUUGUGUAUUUAUUAAUAAAGAAUUGAAUCAAGAA